GAUGAACGCUAGCGGCAGGCUUAAUACAUGCAAGUCGAGGGGCAGCAUGAUUGUAGCAAUACGAUUGAUGGCGACCGGCAAACGGGUGCGGAACACGUACACAACCUUCCAAUAAGUGGGGAAUAGCCCAGAGAAAUUUGGAUUAAUACCCCGUAACAUAACGAUGUGGCAUCACCUUGUUAUUAUAGAUUUCUCGCUUAUUGAUGGGUGUGCGGCUGAUUAGAUAGUUGGCGGGGUAACGGCCCACCAAGUCUACGAUCAGUAGCUGAUGUGAGAGCAUGAUCAGCCACACGGGCACUGAGACACGGGCCCGACUCCUACGGGAGGCAGCAGUAAGGAAUAUUGGACAAUGGACGCAAGUCUGAUCCAGCCAUGCCGCGUGAAGGAUUAAGGUCCUCUGGAUUGUAAACUUCUUUUAUAAGGGACGAAAAAAGGCUUUUCUAAGUCGUCUGACGGUACCUUAUGAAUAAGCACCGGCUAACUCCGUGCCAGCAGCCGCCGCCGUAA
rnacentral:rRNA from 1 species